rnacentral:miRNA from 1 species
GACACUUUAUAAGUACUUGUUGAAUCUUAGUUGAGUGAAUAGAUUUAUCACUCAAUCAACAAACAUUUAUUAAGUGCCUGCUA